rnacentral:tRNA from 1 species
GCAUCGGUGGCUCAGGGGGUAAAGCACUUGACUUGUAAUCUGCAGAUUCUGGGUUCGAAUCCCCCCAUGUU